AAGGAAUUAGGAUAUGGUUUAUCUGGGAAGAGAGGCAUGGUAUCUAGGGUUUGAACAACCUGAGGAAAUGGGGUGAAUCAUCUGAAUUCUACAAGUGGCAAGAUCCAGUGAGUUCACCAGUAGAGAAGCUAGGUGAGCAGAGACCAGAAGAUUGAAAAAAGAUAUGCCUCUUGAUCAAAAAGGAGAAAUUGGAUUAAGCCACCAAAGAGGAAUGAAAUAAAGAAUAGUUCUCCAGUGAUAUCUAAGUCCCCCAUGCAGAUGAAAUGAAAUCACUGUCCCUGAGGAGCUUGAAGACAAUAUGGCCUCUCCAUGGCUGCCUGCGUAUACAUUUUCACAUGUUGUCUGGCUUCUCCCAAAGUGAUUGAUGAGAGAGAGAAAGAUGAUGUGAUUAAUGAGCUCCUCAACUAUCAGUGGCUUGCAGUGCAGAUGCAGAACACUCCACCUCCCACCUCAAAUUAUCAGAGCUUCCCUAUGACCCUGCAAUUGCAC